AGAGUUUGAUCCUGGCUCAGAUUGAACGCUGGCGGCGUGCCUAACACAUGCAAGUCGAGCGGUAACAGGUGUAGCAAUACAUGCUGACGAGCGGCGAACGGGUGAGUAAUGCUUUGGAAUCUUCCCAGUAGUGGGGAACAACCAGUCGAAAGAUUGGCUAAUACCGCAUACGUCUGUGAAGAGAAAGCGGGGGAUCGUAAGACCUCGCGCUAUUGGAUGAGCCAAAGUCGGAUUAGCUAGUUGGUGAGGUAAUGGCUCACCAAGGCGACAAUCCGUAGCUGGUCUGAGAGGACGACCAGCCACACCGGAACUGAGACACGGUCCGGACUCCUACGGGAGGCAGCAGUGGGGAAUAUUGGACAAUGGGGGAAACCCUGAUCCAGCGACGCCGCGUGUGUGAAGAAGGCCUGCGGGUUGUAAAGCACUUUUAGUGGGGAC
rnacentral:rRNA from 1 species